AGAAAAUGUGGUGGAUGUCACGUCGAAUGAGGUUGAUGCCCGGGUUAUGUUAAAACAUCUGAAAUCUAAGAUUGAUUUCACCAGCUCUCCAAGUGCAAAUCUGGUCAACGUUUGCCGCGAUGAUGUCCUAGGAUGUGCCAUUAGGGCAUUUCAGCGGCCCCUAUUCGAUCCUUGCAGGAAAGUCGAUAUAAUUUUCGUUGAUGACUGAGACCUUUCUGAAGGUGCGGUGGAUGAUGGCGGCCCAAAAAGGGAAUUCUGUCGACUCCUCACGAAGGCAAUCAGAGACAGUGCAAUGUUUGAAGGACCUGAAAAGGACAAACAUUUGCACUUACAUGCUCUACAAACAGGCCGGUAUAGGCUGGCCGGUCUGAUGAUGGCAGUAAGCCUGCUUCAUGGAGGUGUUGCACUGCAUUUCCUGUCAAGAAAAACAGUAUGGUGGCAGGAAUAGUGACGGAAAAGGGAAGCAUGGAUGAUAUUGCCAACAGUGAGCUGAGGGAGAGACUAGAGAAGGAUGAUUGAAGGUCUGCAAACAUUUGGUUUGGUAGAGGCCAUCAGAAGGAACCCAGCAGAGGAAAUAUUUAUAAAUUCAUCAAGACCACUGAAGGCCACAGAAAUAAUAGAACUGUUUGUGCCAACUUUAAGUCCUCGUGGCGGCAAUCAGCGGCGGGAGGAAAACAGAACACUGGGCUUCUGGAGGGACUGGCUGGUUAAUGUGGAAGGUGGCUUGUGUGCCCCUGUCACACUGGAGAUGGUGCUGGUGUUCACUUCCGGACUAGACUCCCUCCCACCUCUGGGAUUUGAUACUACCCCUUCCCUCCAGUUCCACAACAGCCAGAGGCCGCUACCCGUGGCAAACACGUGGAUGAAUUGUGGCAUUGUACAGGCUCCCACUUUUGGUCUUGUUUAAGUUAAAUGUGAAUCACACUUAUGUUUUUAUAUCACACUUAUAUUGUAGUUGUUGUGUUUUUUUUGUUAUUUUUUUCAUUAUUAUUGCAUUUUGUACUUUUAAAAUGAUUGCACUGUAGCAUCAUAUUGUUGCAAAUGUGAAGACUGACACUUGUUACAUUCAGUCGCAUUGUUACACUUGUUACAUUGAGUUGCACAGUCUUGUA